UAAAGCAUGUACAAGUUGAACUGAGGAAAAUCCAUAUCCCGCUCUGCCUACACUAAUAUCUUGAAUGUUAAUGCCAUUUGAUUUUUUACCUGAUAAGCAAUGAACUAUCCUUAGGUAGUGUUUUUAUGCCUAGAUGUAAUCCUGGGGUCUCUGAUGUCAAUAAGAUCUCAUUUGCAUUUUAAAUGCAACUACAGCUAACCCACCAGGCUGAAGCCAAUAAGCAGUUGUUCAGAAGAAAGAAUACCUUUCAGAUGCUGCCGGACCUGUUGAGCUUUUCCAGCAACUUCUGUUUUUGUUCCUGCAUUUGUCCUGCUUUGUGUGGAUAAUUGGAUAAUGUUGUAGCACAGCUCGAACGACUUGGCUAGGGGUACAGCCAAUCAGAUGCUGCCAGACCUACUGAGUUUUUUCUAGCAGCUUGUUUUAGUUCUUUGAGGAAACUGAGUCAACAUGCACACAGAUGAUAGCUUCUGAUAGCUGCUGGCUUUGCUGUUGCACCUGCUGAAGUUGUUCUAUACAUUUGCUGGAAGCGAGAGUUGAAAUAUGUGACAGCUCCAGUUGUACUUCGUACUUGUCCUCAUCAUCCACAAUAAUGCAGAACAAGGGAUUAUCCACUGAAAGAGACAUUGAAAACCUAUGACCUUGUCUAUGCACUGAGACAGUUGUGUGUCAUGUAAAUAUGAUUUCCUUCUUUCUUCUCCAUUGACUUGUUUAGGUGGCAUAAUUGUAAAACCAACUUUUCAAUUUUGGUAAAGGGUUUUGUAGAGCAAUACAAAAACACCAGGAAAUUCUAAAGUUGAGUAAGUAAUGUCAUGACUCACUAACACCACCAUUACUUUCAAUUUCUGCAUCAGAAAUGAACCAACAACUCUGGUAUGCCAUGCAAAUGUGUUCCAGUGCAUCCUGGUCAAUUAAUUCCCAGAAAAUGUCAGCUUUUCCCACAUAUUCUGUGACUUCCUUGUGCAUAGAUAGGCCAUCAAUCUUCUGAAUGAUGUUUUGGUUAAUGUACAUUAUAUUGGCCUAGAAGUAAAACAAUUUGAGAAAAGCUUCAAGUUUCAAGCACUAGCUGAGGAAACCCAGCUCACAAAUUUGCAUCUAAUGUUUAUUUGGCUUGAACUUAUACAUGGGGACAAACUGCAAUAUUGUUUCAAAGUUGCUGUAUUGCACAGCUUUGCAUGAUAAUCCAGCAUCUCUGCACACUGGAUGGAAAAACUAUUACUGUAGUUGGGUUAACUUCAUUUGUACAGGAAAUGUUACCAGUAGUUCCUCGGACAAAUGGAUAGUGUCAGAUAUGAUUCUAUUUGUAACAACAGGCAUAUUCUGUAAUGCGCAGAGCAUCAAAAGCCACUCAGUUUGUCAGGGGUGGGUGCAAUAUGAAGUAAAUAAAACAGAUUGACUCACCAAGUUGUGAUUUUACCGACCUUGUUCCUUUACACUAUGUGCUCCCUUUUACAGCUCAUCAAAUUCACGAAAAUACAUAAUUAACAUGCAAGGUAAAAGACACCAGCAAACAUUCAAAAUUUACCUGUCAAAUUACUCUUAUAAUAUAAAAUCGCAGUAACCUUUAUAAAAUAUUCAUUCUUCAACUUAU